rnacentral:lncRNA from 1 species
UGAGUCUCUGCCAGCUGGUUUGGUGACCUCCAACGGGACUGGGCUCCUGGCUGGGCAGCAGCUGGACGCCUCCAGCCCUCUGAGUUCUGGCUGCAUCCUCCAGGGUCAAGGCUGGGUCCUCCUGUUUCAGGUUCCCAGGGCCUCCUCUUUUAGUCUAAAGCUGCUACAGUUUUGUUUUAACACGAAGAUUAGCCCUGAGCUAACAUCUGUGCCAAUCCUCCUCUAUUUUGUAUGUUGGAUGCCUCCACAGCACAGCUGACGAGUGGAGUAGGUCACACCCGGGAUCCAAACCUGCAAACCCAGGCCACUGAAGCAGAGCACGUGGAACUUCAACCACUCGGCCACAGGGCCGGCCCUGUAUGUCUUCCUUGGAGAAAAGUCUGUUCAACUACUUUGCCCAUUUUUAAAUUGGGUUAAAUUUGUCUUUUUAUUACUGAGUUGUAAGAAUGCUUUAUAUAUUGUAGUUAGAUACAAGUCCCUUAUCAGAUACAUAAUUUAUAAGUACUUUCUCUUAUUCUAUGGAUUGUUUUUUCACUUUCUUGAUGAUGUCUGUCAUGGGUUGAAUUGUGUUCCCCAAAACGAUAUGUUGAAGUCCUAAUCCCACCCCUAGUAUCUCAGAAUGUGACCUUAUUUGGAAAUAGAGUCCUUGCAGAUGUGAUGAGUUAAACUGGCGUCAAACUGGAGUAGAGUGGGCCUUGAUUCAAUAUGACUAGUGUCCUUAUAAGAAGAUGAUGUGAAGACACACCUGGGAACCCUGUAUCCGUUACCAGUCACUGUGAUGCCAGAGAACACCAUGUCAUGACAGAGGCAGAGAUUGGAAUUAAGCGGCUGCAAGCCAAGGAAUGGCAAGGAUUGACAACUACCACCAGAAGCUAGGAAGUGGCAAGGAAGGAUUCUCUCCUACAGGUGUCAGAGGGAGUGGCUCUGUCAACACCUUGACUCCCAGCCUCCAGAACUGUAAGACAAUAAUUUCUGUUGUUUUAAGCCACGCAGUUUGUGGUACUUUGUUACGGCAGACCUAGGAAAUUAAUAUAGUGUCCUUGUAGUGUAAGUGCCUGGCAUUAAGCUUUCAAUUGCUGAGGCAUCCAUUUCAAAGACACCCAUCUUGAAUAAACAUUACUAGCUGUAUGACACAGCUACUAACUAAACAAAUAGAUAAGGAGCCA